ACCAGACUCCUACGGGAGGCAGCAGUGGGGAAUAUUGCACAAUGGGGGGAACCCUGAUGCAGCGACGCCGCGUGGGUGAAGGAGCACCUCGGUGCGUAAAGCCCUAUCGGCAGGGAAGAAACAGACGGUACCUGACUAAGAAGCCCCGGCUAACUACGUGCCAGCAGCCGCGGUAAUACGUAGGGGGCAAGCGUUAUCCGGAUUUACUGGGUGUAAAGGGGGCGCAGACGGCAGCGCAAGCCAGGAGUGAAAGCCCGGGGCCCAACCCCGGGACUGCUCUUGGAACUGCGCGGCUGGAGUGCAAGAGGGGCAGGCGGAAUUCCUGGUGUAGCGGUGAAAUGCGUAGAUAUCAGGAGGAACACCGGUGGCGAAGGCGACUAUCUGGCACAUAACUGACGCUGAGGAGCGAAAGCGUGGGUAGCAAACAGGAUUAGAUACCCCCGUAC
rnacentral:rRNA from 1 species